rnacentral:rRNA from 1 species
GACGUAGGGGACGAGCGUUGUCCGGAUUCAUUGGGCGUAAAGAGCGUGUAGGCGGCCAGGUAGGUCUGCUGUGAAAACUCGAGGCUCAACCUCGAGAUGUCGGCGGAAACCAUCUGGCUAGAGUCCGGAAGAGGAGAAUGGAAUUCCCGGUGUAGCGGUGAAAUGCGCAGAUAUCGGGAAGAACACCCGUGGCGAAGGCGGUUCUCUGGGACGGUACUGACGCUGAGACGCGAAAGCGUGGGGAGCGAACAGG